AUUGAACGCUGGCGGCAUGCCUUACACAUGCAAGUCGAACGGUAACGCGGGGGCAACCCUGGCGACGAGUGGCGAACGGGUGAGUAAUACAUCGGAACGUACCCAGUAGUGGGGGAUAGCUCGGCGAAAGCCGGAUUAAUACCGCAUACGACCUAUGGGUGAAAGCGGGGGAUCGCAAGACCUCGCGCUAUUGGAGCGGCCGAUGUCGGAUUAGCUAGUUGGUGAGGUAAAGGCNCACCAAGGCUACGAUCCGUAGCUGGUCUGAGAGGACGACCAGCCACACUGGGACUGAGACACGGCCCAGACUCCUACGGGAGGCAGCAGUGGGGAAUUUUGGACAAUGGGCGAAAGCCUGAUCCAGCCAUGCCGCGUGUGUGAAGAAGGCC
rnacentral:rRNA from 1 species